rnacentral:rRNA from 1 species
UAAUACGUAGGGGGCAAGCGUUGUUCGGAUUUACUGGGCGUAAAGGGCGCGUAGGCGGCGUGACAAGUCACUUGUGAAAUCUCCGGGCUUAACUCGGAACGGCCAAGUGAUACUGUCGUGCUAGAGUGCAGAAGGGGCAAUCGGAAUUCUUGGUGUAGCGGUGAAAUGCGUAGAUAUCA